UACAGAGGGUGCGAGCGUUAAUCGGAAUUACUGGGCGUAAAGCGUGCGUAGACGGUUAUGUAAGUCGGAUGUGAAAGCCCCGGGCUCAACCUGGGAAUGGCAUUCGAGACUGCAUAGCUAGGAUGCGGAAGAGGGAAGCGGAAUUUCCGGUGUAGCGGUGAAAUGCGUAGAUAUCGGGAGGAAUACCUAUGGCGAAAGCAGGCUACUGGACCAUCACUGACGCUGAUCUGCGAAAGCUAGGGGAGCAAACAGG
rnacentral:rRNA from 1 species